ACUGAAGCCUAUAUGGAUUAUAAUGGCCUUAAAAGAAUUCUUCGAGAAAUCUUGCAAUACAGGCAACCCUCAACACCAUUGAGAUCCUUACAUCACAGAUUAACAAUGCACAGAGCCUUUAGUGGGCUAGAGCUACCACAAUCUACCGAAUUUCCCAGUAAGGGAGACAUUGAAGACCAAGUUAUAGAUGUUAGUACAUCGCUGGAAGAUGGCUGCAGAAAGUUUUACAAGACUGAGUUCCUGAGAAAGUCUGAAGAAGGGGGAGACAUUGAGGUAAUGUUCUUCAAAAAACUUGAUGAGGAGCUGAACAAAGUUAACUCAUUUUACAAGGACAAGGUGGAGGAGAUGGUGCAUGAGGCAUCUUUGCUAAAUAGACAAAUGGAUGUCUUGAUUGCGUUGAGGAUCAGACUGCAAAAACAUGAUUUUGAGGGUGCCAAUGCUGAGGCAAGUUGUUCAAAUGACAUUGCUGCUGCAAACCACCCCUUGAGGGACAUUAAUUUAGGAAGGGGGUGUAUGGAAUCAACCCUCAGAGAGGAUACAAGCAAUGAUUCGGAUCCAGAGUCUACUAGCAAUCCAGACGUAAAUGAAGUUCAUACUGCAAAUUGUGAUAGUGCUUGCAAAGAGGAGGAAAAUGAUCGUGAACGAGAUCCAUUGAAAAUACUUGAGUAUGUGAAACUUAACAAUACACUUGAGUCACCUUUAUCAACUAUUAGAGGAGUUUUCAAGGAUUCUACAGAUGAGGACCUUUCCUUUAACAAAGAGGAGCUGAGGAAAGUUGAAGAACGACUUAGAGUUGUGUUCAUUGAAUUUUACCACAAGCUCCGUCUUCUAAAGCACUAUAGUUAUAUGAACCUUGCAGCAUUUUCCAAGAUCAUGAAAAAGUAUGAAAAGUUCACAUCAAGGAGAGCAUCCAGGUCAUAUAUGAAAAUAGUGGACAACUCUUACCUUGGCAGCUCUGACGAGGUGAGUGGCCUCCUUGAAAGGGUGGAGGCUACCUUCAUCAAGCAUUUCUCAAACUCAAAUCGCAGGGAAGGUAUGAAGUCACUGAGGCCAAAAGCAAAAAGAGAAAAGCACAGUGUAACAUUCUUUUCAGGGUUUUUUUCCGGUUGCUCAAUUUUACUAUUGAUAGCUGUUGUUUUGAGAAUACAAGCUCGGAAACUGAUGGAAAAGAGGGAAGGGGUCUCAUAUGUAGUCAACAUUUUCCCACUUUACAGUUUAUUUGGAUAUGCUGUCCUACACAAGCUCAUGUAUGUGACAAACAUUUACUUCUGGAGGCGUUAUCGGGUCAAUUAUCCAUUUAUAUUUGGUUUCAAACAAGGUACAGAGCUAGGCCACAGAGAAGUUUUCAUGCUAAGCAACGGCCUUGCAUUACUUGUAUUAGCCAGUUGCCUGGCAAAUUUGCACCUGGAUUCAGGCUCAAAUGCAUCAAAGUACAAGACAGUCACUGAAAUGGUUCCUUUAGGCUUGGUUGCUGUGGUUCUGGUCAUACUUUUCUGCCCUUUUGACAUCAUAUACCGCUCUAGUCGUUUUUUCUUUAUCCGGUGUUUGUUCCGUUGUAUUUGUGCACCACUAUAUAAGGUUACCCUUCCAGAUUUUUUCUUGGCAGAUCACCUUGCCAGUCAGGUCCAGGCCAUCAGAAGUUUUGAAUUGUACAUUUGCUACUAUGGCUUGGGGGAAUACUCUAGGAGACAAAGCAAAUGUCAUAAUCAUGGUAUCUAUAAUGCCUUCUAUUUUACAGUUGCUGUUAUCCCCUACUGGAUUCGCUUUCUACAGUGUCUUCGUCGAUUGUGCGAAGAGAAAGAUGCAACACAUGGAUACAACGGUUUCAAAUACCUGUUGACAAUUGUUGCAGUUGUAAUGAGAACCACUUGUGAACUGAAGAAAGGAAGGACCUGGAUAGUGUUGGCCUUGAUCAGCUCAGCUGUUGCAGUAAUUAUGAACACAUAUUGGGAUAUUGUGGUAGACUGGGGCCUUUUGCAAAAGAAAUCAAAGAACCCUUUCCUUAGAGACAAACUUGUAGUUUCACACAAAAGUGUCUACUUUGCUGCAAUGGUCUUGAAUGUACUUCUAAGACUGGCUUGGAUGCAAUUAGUAUUAGAAUUCAAUCUGCCAAGCCAUCAUAAGAUUGCCGCAUCAACUGUAAUUGCCUGCCUAGAGAUUAUUCGUCGUGGUAUUUGGAGCUUCUUCAGGUUGGAGAAUGAGCAUUUGAACAACGUCGGCAAGUUUCGAGCAUUCAAAUCAGUUCCACUUCCUUUCAAUUACUAUGAUGCAGAUGCUGAUAAGGAUGAUUAAGCAUCAAUAUUAGCUACCUCAAUUCAGGCCACAGUUAGAGGAAGAUCUGCAUUGUCUCUGGCUAACCAUGUUUGCUGGUUCACUUGAUGAAGAAGCUUAACCAGAUAAAUCCUUGAUGAUAUUGGUUUUUAGCUGCUGAAGAAUGCAGCAAUUUUUUUUUUUUCUGUAAUGGAUGAAUAAAUUGCCUUAAAUCUUUUAAUUAUCUCCAAAGCUGUAAAAAGUUUAUAGGCUGAAGUUUGAAUCUUUCAUGGUACACCAAAUAUAAGCAAAAUUCAG
rnacentral:misc_RNA from 1 species